CCUUCUGCCGAAAAAAGAAAAAGAGGAAAAACUCUGAUGCCAAAUGUUCAUGGUAGGAAAUAGCGCAAGCUAAUUGUGCUAAACGAGAACAAUCAACCCAUAGGUCCUACUGAUGAUGUUGUAGCAGAGUUGGGUAGCUUCCUCGGCACAUUGGCAAGGAAUGCGACCUUUUGUCCUCUUAAUGUGUUUAAUUGGAGGAAACUUCAAACAAAAGAAGGAAAAAUAUGACAUUCUUGAUGCUUCAAAAAAGUGGGUUUUUGAUUCAAUUCAAAAUGCUUGGAGAAAGUAUAAGAAUCAAUUAUUUAAUGACCAUUAUAAAGCCUAUGAGAAUGACGAGUUUCGAAUGGAGAAAAAGCCGAUUUAUGUUCCUCAAUCUCAAUUUAGGGAUCUUUUUAAUUAUUAGAACUCUGAUGCCUACAAGCAAAAUUAGAGGAAAAGGAAGAAAGGAUGCAACAAAUAUUGCAGGAAAAGUUCAAUGCACAAAAAGAUGCCAUGGAACUAUAAGUUGCAGUUAACAUCAUUUCACAACUUAAAUAUCUGAAUCCAGAUUUACGAGUUGAUCCCAGCAUGCUAGCUUUCUAUGCUCGUUCACCUGGAGAAGCUUCCUCUGCACAACAAGCUGCCGUGCAACUAAUCAAUCGUCAAUCUACUGGGAGUAAUAAUCAAGGACAUGGUGGGUUGCUUGGUCUUGUGUUUGGGUUUCAAUGUUAAGCGAGAGUAGUUAUUCAAGAAUCCUGAGUAUGAGGUUAUUACAGCUGCAAGGCCUACAUUGUCAAGGCUUAUGUAUUACCAGACAGUGGAACAAUUGAAGAAAGGGAAGAUGAAGAUUGUGAAGAUCUAGACCUUACUUAAGAACUUUGAAUUGUUGUCCAUGUUCUAGUAAUCUUUUAUUAUCAACAUUUGAAACUUACUCUAACUCUUGAAGUGUUCAAAUGUAAAACUUAUGUGAUUGGGUUAAAACAUUUUGGUUUUAUGGAGACAAUGUAGAUUAUGAAGUGUUU